CUACUACUCCCUCCGUCCGAAAAUACUUUUCAUUGAAAUGGAUGUAUCUAGAUGUAUUUUAGUUCUAGACACAUCCAUUUUGAUGACAAGUAAUUCCGGACGGAGGGAGUAUUAU
rfam:Triticum aestivum genome assembly, contig: Triticum_aestivum_CS42_TGACv1_scaffold_145955_2BS